AACGAACGCUAGCGGGAUGCCUCAAACAUGCAAGUCGCACGCGAAUUAGUAGCAAUACUAUUGUAGAGUGGCGCACGGGUGAGUAACACGUAGCUAAUGUACCCUUUCGCUGGGGAUAACUCCGGGAAACCGGAGCUAAUACCGAAUAAUCUCAAGAGGUCUGCGGACCAUUUGGGUAAAGCCUUACGGCGCGAAGGGAUCAGGCUGCGGCCUAUUAGCUAGUUGGUAGGGUAACGGCCUACCAAGGCGACGAUAGGUAGCUGGUCUGAGAGGAUGAUCAGCCACACUGGAACUGAAACACGGUCCAGACUCCCACGGGAGGCAGCAGUUGGGAAUAUUGGACAAUGGGGGCAACCCUGAUCCAGCAAUCCCGCGUGAGGGACGAAGGCCUUCGGGUCGUAAACCUCUUUCAGUAGGGAAAAAGGGAAACUUGAUGGUACCUACAGAAGAAGCACCGGCUAACUCUGUGCCAGCAGCCGCGGUAAUACAGAGGGUGCAAGCGUUGUUCGGAAUUAUUGGGCGUAAAGCGCGUGUAGGCGGCGACCUAAGUCUGGUGUGAAAGCCCGGGGCUCAACCCCGGAAGUGCACUGGAUACUGGGUUGCUAGAGGGCUAGAGAGGACAGUGGAAUUCCUGGUGUAGGGGUGAAAUCCGUAGAUAUCAGGAGGAACAUCGGUGGCGAAGGCNGCUGUCUGGCUAGUUUCUGACGCUGCGGUGGCGAAGGCGGCUGUCUGGCUAGUUUCUGACGUUGAGACGCGAAAGCGUGGGGAGCAAACAGGAUUAGAUACCCUGGUAGUCCACGCCCUAAACGAUGGAUACUAGUUGUCGGCAUACCUAAUUGUGUCGGUAACGCAGCUAACGCAUUAAGUAUCCCGCCUGGGAAGUACGGUCGCAAGAUUAAAACUCAAAGGAAUUGACGGGGGCCCGCACAAGCGGUGGAGCAUGUGGUUCAAUUCGAUGCUACGCGAAGAACCUUACCUGGGCUUGACAUCCCGCGCUAUCCUGUGAAAGCAGGAGUUCCCGCAAGGGACGCGGUGACAGGUGCUGCAUGGCUGUCGUCAGCUCGUGUUGUGAGAUGUUGGGUUAAGUCCCGCAACGAGCGCAACCCUCGUCACUAGUUGCCAUCAUUUAGUUGGGCACUCUAGUGAGACCGCUUGGCUAUAAGCCAGAGGAAGGUGGGGAUGACGUCAAGUCCUCAUGGCCUUUAUGUCCAGGGCUACACACGUGCUACAAUGGAAGACACAAAACGUUGCAAGCCGGUGACGGCAAGCUAAUCGUAAAAAAUCUUCUUCAGUUCGGAUUGGAGUCUGCAACUCGACUCCAUGAAGCUGGAAUCGCUAGUAAUCGCGGAUCAGAACGCCGCGGUGAAUACGUUCCCGGGCCUUGUACACACCGCCCGUCACACCAUGGGAGUUGGUAAUACCUGAAGUGGCUGAGCGAACCCGCAAGGGACGCAGGCUCCUACGGUAAUGCUAAUGACUGGGGUGAAGUCGUAACAAGGUAACC
rnacentral:rRNA from 1 species